rnacentral:misc_RNA from 1 species
UCCGGUUUGUCACCGGCAGUCUCCCUAGAGUUCCCGCCAUUACGCGCUGGCAACUAGGGACAAGGGUUGCGCUCGUUGCGGGACUUAACCCAACAUCUCACGAUACGAGCUGACGACAGCCAUGCAGCACCUUUCUCCCUGCCUCCGAAGAGGAAACCGUAUCUCUACGGCUGUCAGGGGAUGUCAAACCCAGGUAAGGUUUUUCGCGUUGCAUCGAAUUAAACCACAUGCUCCACCGCUUGUGCGGGCCCCCGUCAAUUCCUUUGAGUUUUAACCUUGCGGCCGUACUUCCCAGGCGGGGUACUUAAUGCGUUAGCGUCGGCACUGCAGGGGUCAAUUCCCCCAACACCUAGUGCCCAUCGUUUACGGCGUGGACUAC